GGUCAAGUGAAGAAGCGCAUACGGUGGAUGCCUUGGCAGUCAGAGGCGAUGAAAGACGUGGUAGCCUGCGAAAAGCUUCGGGGAGUCGGCAAACAGACUUUGAUCCGGAGAUCUCUGAAUGGGGGAACCCACCUAGGAUAACCUAGGUAUCUUGUACUGAAUCCAUAGGUGCAAGAGGCGAACCAGGGGAACUGAAACAUCUAAGUACCCUGAGGAAAAGAAAUCAACCGAGAUUCCCUUAGUAGUGGCGAGCGAACGGGGAUUAGCCCUUAAGCUUCAUUGAUUUUAGCGGAACGCUCUGGAAAGUGCGGCCAUAGUGGGUGAUAGCCCCGUACGCGAAAGGAUCUUUGAAGUGAAAUCGAGUAGGACGGAGCACGAGAAACUUUGUCUGAACAUGGGGGGACCAUCCUCCAAGGCUAAAUACUACUGACUGACCGAUAGUGAACCAGUACCGUGAGGGAAAGGCGAAAAGAACCCCGGAGAGGGGAGUGAAAUAGAACCUGAAACCGUAUGCGUACAAGCAGUGGGAGCCUACUUGUUAGGUGACUGCGUACCUUUUGUAUAAUGGGUCAGCGACUUAUAUUCAGUGGCAAGCUUAACCGUAUAGGGUAGGCGUAGCGAAAGCGAGUCUUAAUAGGGCGUUUAGUCGCUGGGUAUAGACCCGAAACCGGGCGAUCUAUCCAUGAGCAGGUUGAAGGUUAGGUAACACUGACUGGAGGACCGAACCCACUCCCGUUGAAAAGGUAGGGGAUGACUUGUGGAUCGGAGUGAAAGGCUAAUCAAGCUCGGAGAUAGCUGGUUCUCCUCGAAAGCUAUUUAGGUAGCGCCUCAUGUAUCACUCUGGGGGGUAGAGCACUGUUUCGGCUAGGGGGUCAUCCCGACUUACCAAACCGAUGCAAACUCCGAAUACCCAGAAGUGCCGAGCAUGGGAGACACACGGCGGGUGCUAACGUCCGUCGUGAAAAGGGAAACAACCCAGACCGCCAGCUAAGGUCCCAAAGUUGUGGUUAAGUGGUAAACGAUGUGGGAAGGCUUAGACAGCUAGGAGGUUGGCUUAGAAGCAGCCAUCCUUUAAAGAAAGCGUAAUAGCUCACUAGUCGAGUCGGCCUGCGCGGAAGAUGUAACGGGGCUCAAACCACACACCGAAGCUGCGGGUGUCACGUAAGUGACGCGGUAGAGGAGCGUUCUGUAAGCCUGUGAAGGUGAGUUGAGAAGCUUGCUGGAGGUAUCAGAAGUGCGAAUGCUGACAUGAGUAACGACAAUGGGUGUGAAAAACACCCACGCCGAAAGACCAAGGGUUCCUGCGCAACGUUAAUCGACGCAGGGUUAGUCGGUUCCUAAGGCGAGGCUGAAAAGCGUAGUCGAUGGGAAACAGGUUAAUAUUCCUGUACUUCUGGUUACUGCGAUGGAGGGACGGAGAAGGCUAGGCCAGCUUGGCGUUGGUUGUCCAAGUUUAAGGUGGUAGGCUGAAAUCUUAGGUAAAUCCGGGGUUUCAAGGCCGAGAGCUGAUGACGAGUCGUCUUUUAGAUGACGAAGUGGUUGAUGCCAUGCUUCCAAGAAAAGCUUCUAAGCUUCAGGUAACCAGGAACCGUACCCCAAACCGACACAGGUGGUCGGGUAGAGAAUACCAAGGCGCUUGAGAGAACUCGGGUGAAGGAACUAGGCAAAAUGGCACCGUAACUUCGGGAGAAGGUGCGCCGGCUAGGGUGAAGGAUUUACUCCGUAAGCUCUGGCUGGUCGAAGAUACCAGGCCGCUGCGACUGUUUAUUAAAAACACAGCACUCUGCAAACACGAAAGUGGACGUAUAGGGUGUGACGCCUGCCCGGUGCCGGAAGGUUAAUUGAUGGGGUUAGCGCAAGCGAAGCUCUUGAUCGAAGCCCCGGUAAACGGCGGCCGUAACUAUAACGGUCCUAAGGUAGCGAAAUUCCUUGUCGGGUAAGUUCCGACCUGCACGAAUGGCGUAACGAUGGCGGCGCUGUCUCCACCCGAGACUCAGUGAAAUUGAAAUCGCUGUGAAGAUGCAGUGUAUCCGCGGCUAGACGGAGAGACCCCGUGAACCUUUACUGUAGCUUUGCACUGGACUUUGAGCCUGCUUGUGUAGGAUAGGUGGGAGGCUUUGAAGCGUGGACGCCAGUUCGCGUGGAGCCAUCCUUGAAAUACCACCCUGGCAUGCUUGAGGUUCUAACUCUGGUCCGUGAUCCGGAUCGAGGACAGUGUAUGGUGGGCAGUUUGACUGGGGCGGUCUCCU
rnacentral:rRNA from 1 species